rnacentral:rRNA from 1 species
AGUGAACGCUGGCGGUAGGCCUAACACAUGCAAGUCGAACGGCAGCACAGUAAGAGCUUGCUCUUACGGGUGGCGAGUGGCGGACGGGUGAGGAAUACAUCGGAAUCUACUUUUUUGUGGGGGAUAACGUAGGGAAACUUACGCUAAUACCGCAUACGACCUACGGGUGAAAGCAGGGGAUCUUCGGACCUUGCGCGAUUGAAUGAGCCGAGGUCGGAUUAGCUAGUUGGCGGGGUAAAGGCCCCCCAAGGCGACGAUCCGUAGCAGGUCCGACAGGAUGGUCAGCCACACUGGAACUGAGACACGGUCCAGACUCCUAGGGGAGGCAGAAGUGGGGAAUAUUGGACAAUGGGCGAAAGCCUGAUCCAGCCCUACCGCGUGGGUGAAGAAGGCCUUCGGGUUGUAAAGCCCUUUGUUGGGAAAGAAAAGCAGCAGGUUAAUACCCCGCUGUUCUGACGGUACCCAAAGAAUAAGCACCGGCUAACUUCGUG